UUAAAACUAAUUAUAUUGUUCUAUUAUGCCCGAGAUUGUAAAUUUGCAAUGUAUCGAUGUCAACGUUCACAAGAACCAAAACUGGAACAACAUUAGACGACUCAAUUUCGUCCUAACAGUAUAAAUUUGCAAACAGUGCUUUUUCUCAUUCAAUCGAACAUUGAGUAAAACCGAAUUAUAUUGUUCUAUUAUGCCCCGAGACUGUAAAUUUGCAACGUAUCGUUGUCAACGUUCACAAGAAACAAAACCGAAAAAAUAUUAGACUACUCAAUUGCUCCCUAACAGUAUAACUUUGCAAUGAGUACUUUUUCUCAUUCAAUCGAAUAAAGAGUAAAACCUAAUUUUAUUGUUCUAUUAUGCCACGAGAGUGUAAAUUUGCAAUGUAUCAAUGUCAACGUUCACAAAAGUCAAAACCAGACCAACAUUAAACUACUUAGUUGCGCCCUAACAGUAUAACUUUACAACGAGUACUUUUUCUCCUUCAACCGAACAAAGAAUAAAACCUAAUUAUAUUGUUCUAUUACGCUCCGAGAGUGUAAAUUUGCAACGUAUCGAUGCAAACGUCCACAAGAACCAAAACCAGAACAAUAUUAGACUACUCAGUUGCGCCCUAACAGUAUAACUUUGCAAACUAUGCUUUUUCUCAUUUAAUGGAAUAAAGAGUAAAACCCAAUUAUAUUGUUCUAUUAUACUCCGAGAGUGUAAAUUUGCAACGUAUCAAUGUCAACGUUCACAAGAACCAAAACCGAAAAAAUAUUAGACUGCUCAGUUGCUCCCUAACAGUAUAACUUUACAUUGAGUAUUUUUUCUCAUUCAACCAAAUAAAGAGUAAAACCUAAUUAUAUUGUUCUAUUAUGUCCCGAGAGUGUAAAUUUGCAACGUAUCGAUGUCAACGUUCACAAAAACCAAAACCGAACCAACAUUAGACUACUAAGUUGCGCUCUAACAGUAUAACUUUGCAACGAGUACUUUUUCUCCUUCAACCGAAUAAAGAGUAAAACCUAAUUAUAUUGUUCUAUUAUACCCGGAGAGUGUAAAUUUGCAACGUAUCGAUAUCAACAAUCACAAGAGCCAAAAUCGGAACAACAUUAGACUGCUCAGUUGCGCCCUAACAGUAUAACUUUGCAAACAGUAAUUUUUCCCAUUCAAUGGAACAAAAAGUAAAACCUAAUUAUAUUGUUCUAUUAUGCUCCGAGAGUAUAAAUUUGCAACGUAUUGAUGUCAACGUUCACAAGUACCAAAAUCGGAACAACAUUAGACUACUCAGUUGCGCCCAAACAGUAUUACUUUGCAAACUGUGCUUUUUUCUCAUUCAAUCGAACAAAGAGUAAAACCUAAUUAUAUUAUUCUAUUAUGCCCCGAGAGUAUAAAUUUGCAACGUAUCGAUGUCAAUGUUUACAAUAACCAAAACCGGAUCAACAUGAGACUACUCAGUUACGCCCUAACAGUAUAACUUUGCAAACAGUACUUUUUCUCAUUCAAUCAAACAAAGAAUAAAACCUAAUUAUAUUGUUCUAUUAUAUCCUAGAGUGUAAAUUUGCAAUAUCAAUGUCAACGUUCACAAAAACAAAAACCGGAACAACAUUAGACUACUCAGUUGCGUCCUAACAGUAUAACUUUGCAAACAGUGCUUUUUUUCAUUCAAUCGAACAAAGAGUAAGAACUAAUUAUAUUGUUUUAUUAUGCACCGAGAGUGUAAAUUUGUAACGUAUCAAUGUCAAUGUUCACAAGAACCAAAACCAAAAAAAUAUUAGACUACUCAGUUGUUCCCUACCCGUAUAACUUUGCAAUGAGUACUUUUUCUCAUUCAAUCGAACAAAGAGUAAAACCUAAUUAUAUUGUUCUAUUUUGCCCUGAGAGUGUAAAGUGAUUGUGCCGCUCUAAUACCAAUGUAAUCCUCCUGAUCCAACUUA
rnacentral:lncRNA from 1 species